CAGCAACUCACUGAGCCAAGAGAGACAGGGCACUCAGCAACUCACUGAGCCAAGAGAGAGACAGGGCACUCAGCAACUCACUGAGCCAAGAGAGACAGGGCACUCAGCAACUCACUGAGCCAAGAGAGAGACAGGGCACACUGCAACUCACUUAGCCAAGAGAGAGAGGGCACCGACACAGCAACUCACUGAGCCAAGAGAGACAGGGCACUCAGCAACUCACUUAGCCAAGAGAGACAGGGCACACUGCAACUCACUGAGCCAAGAGAGACAGGGCACUCAGCAACUCACUGAGCAAAGAGAGACAGGGCACUCAGCAACUCACUGAGCCAAGAGAGAGACAGGGCACCGACACAGCAACUCACUG